rnacentral:rRNA from 1 species
AUUGAACGCUGGCGGCAGGCCUAACACAUGCAAGUCGAACGAGUGGUGGACGGGUGAGUAAUGUCUGGGAAACUGCCUGAUGGAGGGGGAUAACUACUGGAAACGGUAGCUAAUACCGCAUACCAUCGGAUGUGCCCAGAUGGGAUUGGCUAGUAGGUGGGGUAACGGCUCACCUAGGCGACGAUCCCUAGCUGGUCUGAGAGGAUGACCAGCCACACUGGAACUGAGACACGGUCCAGACUCCUACGGGAGGCAGCAGUGGGGAAUAUUGCACAAUGGGCGCAAGCCUGAUGCAGCCAGGCCGGGUGUGGGAAGAAGGCCUUCGGGUUGGAAAGCACUUUCAGCGGGGAGGCGUUACCCGCAGAAGAAGCACCGGCUAACUCCGUGUCAGCAGCCGCGGUAAUUC